rnacentral:rRNA from 1 species
UUGAAAGUUACUAAGAGCAUACGGUGGAUGCCUUGGGUUUGAGAGGCGACGAAAGACGUGAUAAGCUGCGAUAAGCUUCGGGGAGCGGCACAUACGCAUUGAUCCGGAGAUUUCUGAAUGGGGCAACCCAACUUGUUGAAGACAAGUUAUACUAGCAAUAGUAAGCGAACGGGGAGAACUGAAACAUCUAAGUACCCCCAGGAAGAGAAAACAAUUAAGUGAUUUCCCGAGUAGUGGCGAGCGAAACGGAAACAGCCUAAACCAAAGAGGCUUGCCUCUUUGGGGUUGCAGGGCUGCAAUAUUGACUUAAGAUUACCAUUAGAAGCAUCUGGAAAGUUGCACCAUAGAGGGUGAUAGUCCCGUAAAAGCAGUAAUCUUAUACAUAGCAGUACCCUAAGUACCGCGAGGUCGGAGACGCCUUGUGGGAAUCUGCCAGCACCAUCUGGUAAGGCUAAAUACUCCUCAAACACCGAUAGCGCACUAGUACUGUGAAGGAAAGGUGAAAAGAACCCCGAACAGGGGA